rnacentral:lncRNA from 10 species
GAUUAAAUGAAUUAAUGCACGUAAAGCGGCAACAACGAAGCCUUGUCUAUAGUCAACAGUCAAUAAAAAUGACACAGUGCUGUUUAUGUUGGCCAGCACCCAAUAAGCAAAUAAUGGGAAAUUGAUUAUUGAUUAUUUCCUCAUUCCCAAGUGAAAAGGAGAAAGGUAUCUCUAUUGGAGAUGAACGCAUGUUCAAUACACGUGGCCUGCCUGAGUCAUUAGCAAAGUGUCCAACAACUCUGAGAUAAAUCGUCAUUUUAUGGAAUGCCACAGGAAGAAGUUUUCUUUACAAGUUCUGAAGACUUGUGAUGAAUGAGUCCAUAGUUUCACCUUUGAAAAUGUCCCUGGGAGUGUCAACCCCAUCACUUUUACUUAUAUUACACUCAUAAUCAGUUCAUCUCGCCAAGAAAAAUAAUAUUAUCCUCAUGCCCAAACUUGUGACUUGAUUUGAAAACCAGUAAAUCAGAAAUAAAACUUCCCAUGUGUUUUUUUCCUACAUGAAUCCAAGUGACUCAGAUAUUGUGUUAUUCAAUAAGACUAUUACCAUGACUCAGGUAAAAGGGCCGUUUAUAUUUUCUGAAGUCUCAAGUCUAGGGUCCAAAAUAAAACUAGCAUCUUUUAUAGAAUAAUUUUUCUCUAAAAUGAAAUGUGUAUGU